UACGGGGGGGGCAAGCGUUGUUCGGAAUUACUGGGCGUAAAGGGCUCGUAGGCGGCCAACUAAGUCGGAUGUGAAAUCCCCAGGCUUAACCUGGGAACUGCAUCCGAUACUGGAUGGCUUGAAUUCGGGAGAGGGAUGCAGAAUUCCAGGUGUAGCGGUGAAAUGCGUGGAUAUCUGGAGGAAUACCGGUGGCGAAGGCGGCAUCCUGGACCGACAUUGACGCUGAGGAGCGAAAGCUAGGGGAGCAAACGGG
rnacentral:rRNA from 1 species